UGAUUUUAGUCUCAUGAACAACAUUAGCUGAUUGUUAUUUACUAACUAAUCUUAAAACGACUGUUCAGUACAGAAAUGAAGGCCAACUAUCAUGUUUUACAGUCCUGUGGUCUCAGCCUCAGAUACUCAACUAAUCACAGAGAGCUCAUCUAAAAGCAAACAAACAAAUGAACAAAACAUUUUUCAUUUCUGUCACACACAGCUGUAUGAAACGUUUCCCGCGGUUAGUAUCAUGGUUGCUAGGCAACCUGAGCAGCGCGACGAAGGCCAGACUGUCCCAUUUCACAAGCCUCUCACUUCCGCACGCGAAGUGCGCGGACUAGGAAGUAUGCGGUCGCUGGAUUGGGACACAGCCAUGACGGGGAAACGAGACACAAGGACUCAUACAAGCACACAAACACAGACACACAGAGGGAAUCUAAUAAUCAAAAUCUAAACAGAACAACCCAGCACUAUAGUAUAAACUCAAGACUAACAAAGGCCAGGACUCUGCAGUCUAUUUACACCUACAGGCCAGUGGACACUCUUUCAAUGAUGAGGAUGUACACAUCCUGGACAGGGAGGAACGCUGGUUUGAGGGCGGAGUCAAGGAGGCCAUUUACGUGAAAAGGGAAAGACCAUCUCUGAAUCGAGGAGGGGGCCUAAGGGUACAUCUGUCACCAUCUUACAAUGCUGUGAUUGCAGCCAUUCCCCAACUCUCUGUGAAUGGUACUCAUGGUUAUUGAUCAGUGGUUGUUGAUCAAUGGUCAUCACAAUCUGCAUAUUAAUGAUCAAGAAACAGACCUCACAGCCCAUUGUGUCAGGGGGCGGGUCUGUGACCCGGCGUUUUUAGUUUAUGUGGUAUUUUUGAUUUCUUAUGUUAAUGUUUAGUAUGCGUAAUGUUGUUAGUUUGGUUAUAGUUCAGUUAUUUUGUAUUUUUGAUUACUUAUGAGAUAAUGUUAAGUUCUAGUAUUAUUAUUAGUUUGUCGUAGUUGAGUCUGAGUCUGGUUUAUGUUUGUUGUGGGUCUCUGUGUUUAUGAGUUGUUUCCUGUCUUCUGUGUCGUCUGUCUUGUCUUUAACGUGUGAGUUAUGUCCGUGCCUUCGUCCCACUUAUCUGUUUCCAGUUACCUCUCCUUGUGUUCCACGCCUCCCCAUCUGCCAUGUGUUUCAUGUCUACAUGCUCCAUUGUCAAGAUCAUGUUUCCAUUUCUUUGUCUCACCAUGUUUCCUGUGUUAAAGACUAACAAGGCUGAAGAGUGGUGCUGAGUUGUUUAUCAUCACCUGCUGCUGAGUUGGAACAUUAAUUCUGUUAAACCUGCUUCCUGCAAUAGGAGCAAAUAUCCAAUGAAAGCAGAGCAGCAGAAAGACGUGCUGAGUGUAAAGCUGUCAGCAGGGGGAAUAACACAGGGCUGUGAAUGAGUCCUGUCACUGUGAUCAGGCUCCUCCUUCUAAUCCACCAACUUAGUGUUGAUGAAGACUAAACAGAGAGAUCACAGCUUCUUUAUACUUGCUGUAGCUCACAGUUACUCUACACUGCAGAUAUGACGCCUCUGUUCAUCUCAGUGCUGCUGGCUGCUAUGUGCCUCGAAUGCAGAGCACAAAAAGACAACGUGCUGCAAGCAAAAGGAGAAGAGACUGCUGCUGAAGGAGGCACAGUAACACUUGGCUGUCUCUAUAACGUCAGCACUACAGUAGCUCCUUCUCUCUUCUGGUACAAACAGGAUGGAAACAACAGCCCCAAAUUCAUCCUGAGUCGUGUUAGUGGGGAUGAUGGAAACACAGCAGCCGAGUUCAAGGAGAGAUUUUCAUCCACACUGGAUUCCAGCAUCAGAUCAGUUCCUCUGAAGAUCCAGAAGCUUCAGCUGUCUGACUCUGCUGUGUACUACUGUGCUCUGCAGCCCACAGUGACAGGAAACACCAAAACUCUGUACAAAAACCUUUGGAGCAAAGACAACAGAAUACUCCACAACAUCCACUAGAGGGAGACACACACUGUUAAACCUCUGAUUCUUGUGUCAUUGGACUGAUGACAAAGACAACAGAGAAAUGAAGCAGUAAAGAUCAGAGACAGAGACAGAGCUGCUGUGGAAGCACAAAACUAUUUGAUUGGCUCAGCUAUUAAACUGGCCCCGCCCACUGAAGUUGAGCUCAUCCAAUGACAUUAUUUGUUGGUCAUUGUGCUGCAGUGGAAGAACAUUGUUCAUGUGCUGUCUGUCUGGCUUUAAUAACUCCAAAGACAUGUUGCUGCACCUCUUUCUGCUUCUAUCUCACAUUAUAGGUGAGUUUAAGAACAGGGAUUAAAGUUUAGUUGAAGCUGCUGCAUUAAGCAGAUAUACAGACUGCAUUUCACUACUUUUCUUC